rnacentral:rRNA from 1 species
GAGCGGUAUUGUUUCCUCGGAAACGAGAGAGCGGCGCACGGGUGCGGAACACGUGUGCAACCUGCCUUUAUCUGGGGGAUAGCCUUUCGAAAGGAAGAUUAAUACCCCAUAAUAUUUUGAAUGGCAUCAUUUAAAAUUGAAAACUCCGGUGGAUAGAGAUGGGCACGCGCAAGAUUAGAUAGUUGGUAGGGUAACGGCCUACCAAGUCAGUGAUCUUUAGGGGGCCUGAGAGGGUGAUCCCCCACACUGGUACUGAGACACGGACCAGACUCCUACGGGAGGCAGCAGUGAGGAAUAUUGGACAAUGGGUGAGAGCCUGAUCCAGCCAUCCCGCGUGAAGGACGACGGCCCUAUGGGUUGUAAACUUCUUUUGUACAGGGAUAAACCUUUCCACGUGUGGAAAGCUGAAGGUACUGUACGAAUAAGCACCGGCUAACUCCGUG